AUUGAACGCUGGCGGCAUGCCUUACACAUGCAAGUCGAACGGCAGCACGGGAGCAAUCCUGGCGGCGAGUGGCGAACGGGUGAGUAAUAUAUCGGAACGUGCCCAGUAGUGGGGGAUAGCCCGGCGAAAGCCGGAUUAAUACCGCAUACGACCUACGGGUGAAAGGGGGGGAUCGCAAGACCUCUCGCUAUUGGAGCGGCCGAUAUCAGAUUAGGUAGUUGGUGGGGUAAAGGCCUACCAAGCCUGCGAUCAGUAGUUGGUCUGAGAGGACGACCGGCCACACUGGGACUGAGACACGGCCCAGACUCCUACGGGAGGCAGCAGUGGGGAAUUUUGGACAAUGGGCGCAAGCCUGAUCCAGCAAUGCCGCGUGCAGGAAGAAGGCCUUCGGGUUGUAAACUGCUUUUGUCAGGGAAGAAAUCCUCUAGGCUAAUACCUUGGGGGGAUGACGGUACCUGAAGAAUAAGCACCGGCUAACUACGUGCCAGCCGCCGCCGUAAGAC
rnacentral:rRNA from 1 species